rnacentral:rRNA from 1 species
CCCUUAGAUGUCCUGGGCCGCACGCGCGUUACACUGAUGCAUUCAACGAGCUUAUAACCUUGGCCGAGAGGCCUGGGCAAUCUUGUUAACGUGCAUCGUGAUAGGGAUAGAUUAUUGAAAUUAUUAAUCUUGAACGAGGAAUUCCUAGUAAACGCAGAUCAUCAAUCUGCAUUGAUUACGUCCCUGCCCUUUGUACACACCGCCCGUCGCACCUACCGAUUGGAUGAUCCGGUGAGCUAUUCGGACUUUCGCAUUGUCGAUUUUCGGCUUUACGAGGGAAAGUCUCGCGAACCUUAUCAUCUAGAGGAAGGAGAAGUCGUAACA